rnacentral:rRNA from 1 species
CCUACGGGAGGCUGCAGGGGGGAAGAGGGGACAAUGGGGGGAACCCUGAUCCAGCCAUGCCGCGUGUGUGAAGAAGGCCCUCGGGUUGUAAAGCACUUUCAGUGAGGAAGAACGCCUGGUGGUUAAUACCCAUCAGGAAAGACAUCACUCACAGAAGAAGCACCGGCUAACUCCGUGCCAGCAGCCGCGGUAAUACGGAGGGUGCGAGCGUUAAUCGGAAUUACUGGGCGUAAAGCGCGCGUAGGUGGCUUGAUAAGCCGGUUGUGAAAGCCCCGGGCUCAACCUGGGAACGGCAUCCGGAACUGUCAAGCUAGAGUGCAGGAGAGGAAGGUAGAAUUCCCGGUGUAGCGGUGAAAUGGUUCCCCCACGGGAGGAAUACCAGUGGCGAAGGCGGCCUUCUGGACUGACACUGACACUGAGGUGCGAAAGCGUGGGUAGCAAACAGGAUUAGAUACCCUGGUAGUC